UCCCUGGUGGUCUAGUGGUUAAGACUUGGUACUUUCAUAACUGCAGCUCAGGUUCAAUUCUUGGUGUGGGAA
rnacentral:tRNA from 1 species